rnacentral:misc_RNA from 1 species
GUUGAGAAUAUAGUUGUCAUGAUAGUGGUAGUGGCAAUAGAUGAUUGCCAUGAUGAUUGUGCUGGUAAUUCUGGUCACAUAUAUAAUUGCACUUGGAGUGAUGGUUAUUGAGGUAAUAGAGAUAAUGGUGGAAUUGGACUGAUACAAGUGGUAGUAGCAAAAUGAUAGCCACAGCGGCAAUGAUCUUGACGGAAAGAAUGAAAGAAGUGUUGGAGACAACAAAAAUAAUUUGGUAAUGGUAGUACUAGAGGAAUAAGCCAAAGUAGUGCUUUGUCU